AGAAUAUAUUUAUAAUAUAUAGUUUUUUUUUUACUUUAACAUAUGUUCCCACAUAGCCAAAUGAUUCAACUCAGUACAGUUAACAACUUAGAAAGGGAUUCAUUGAAUUUUCCAGGUCUCUUCAUGGCCAGAGUUGCUUUGUAAGGAGACCCUAAAUGUGGAAUAAUCAACAUGUUAAAGUAAUCUAGAUGUUUAUGAUUUGAUAACUCUUUGGUGCAUUGUUUAACAACAUGUUUUCAAUUUACUUUCCUUCAAAUAGCUCCAAAUAACCCCGUGAUUUUGGAUGAUUGAUUAUGGGAAUGCUGCUUUUACUGUACAUCCAAGCUCUCGUGGCCUCAGCGGAUAAGUAUAUGAGAGCACAGUUUUCCUGGUGUCAGAAUAUGAAGAUCCAGGGAACAAAGAACCUCAAAGAACACCUGGAUUGUCAAGGUUUGGCCGGCAGUGCACUUUCUCCAACCUUACAGUCACACGCAAGUUCUGGUUUUCCUGUCCAGCCUGCCACCCCUGGACCGUCCCUGUAUACAUUCCUUCUCCCUUUGAAGAAAUCCACAAAAGAAAAAGCAAAAUACUGACAAGUUUUCAAAGCCAUGAUUUACAGGAAUGAAUUCUGAAAAGCAAGUGGCUAACAUCCGAGUUCAUCAUCAAAUAAUAUUUCUAAAGCACCCUCUAGUGUCUGGCCCCAAGCCAGAUGAUUCAACGCCUGGAGAAGCUACAGACUUUUUCAAAGUAAAUAGACUCACGUCUGCUCUUGAGAAGCAAGUCGGCAUCAUUUAGGAUGCCUUUAAGGCAUUAAAAAUGGAUUGCUGUAGAAAAAUUAAUACAGGUACAAACACUAAUAAUAUUGAGUGCAAUUUAAAUUCCAUUUUAAAAUAGAUAAUAGGGUUUAAAAUAACAUGUCGAAAAUUGUACUGGAAUUAGCAAAAUUUAAAAUCUUAGGAAGAAGAAUCCUGAUUUGUAUGUGAAAAGGUUUUGAACUGAGGAAAAUUAAGACUAGCAAGAGUAGAUAGGGGUUGUCUAGUAGGAAUCAUAGACCCAUCAGCCAUCUGAUUAUGCUGUGACUGAUACUAGCCUGUAGUUUUCACCCAGUAAAUUAUCAAGUGGUACAGUAGAAAGAGCAUGGUAUGUAGAAUCAUAAGACUCAUAGUUUGGGGUCAACUCUACUAGUCACUUGGCCAUGUGGUUUGGAACACAUCACAAAAGAUUUAUGAGCCUUCGCUUCUUCACAUGUAAAAUUGUGAUGAUUUUGCCAACUUCAUAGAAUUGUUUAGACUUUAGAGUAUUACAUAGGAUACAACGGACUAGUUCCUUGAACAAAGUACUUGUCCCCAAAAUGUUACUAUUUUUUCUAGUUGUGUGAUUGAUUUUGCAAUCAGCAAUUUAAUAUUAUGCAUUCAAUACGUUUAUAAUAUGCAUUCAAUGUGACUCGCAUAUAUUUCAUAAAAACAAAUUUGAAUAUUUUUCUCAUUUUGUCAUUCACAUAUCUUUGAGAAUGGCAUCAUAGUUUUAUUUUGAUAAUGAAAUAAUACAGUCAAUUCCUGAAUAGGCUAGUUGACUUUAAUGAGAAAUACCCAUUUAUUCAUUCAUUCAUUCAUUUCAUUUUCAACUUUUAAAUUAAAUCCAUAAUGGCCCCUUCACUAUGGGGUUCUUAUAUUAAUAAGAUGGACCAGAUACUUUUAUCACCUACAAAAAAAAUCUUUGUAGGCGGAGCAAUAAAGAGUACUGAAUCAUUUUAAGAAGUCACAUAGAAAAUGACUUUUGAACAUGGAAGGACUCGGCUUGAUCAAGCAAAUUCUAUUUCAAAGUUUUACUUGCAAGGUUAUUUAUUACUGUGUGGAAUCUCACUCCUGGGGCUGGGGUCAAGAAAAAUGGGGACACAGGUGUCUGCCUAUUUGCACAGGCAUUAAAAAGUAUUGUAAAAUG